GGGAAAUGCCUUUCUCAAGCUGGGGCCCCACACCCAGAGAUAAGCUGAGAAAGCAGAUUCUAGGGGCCUAGCCAACCCACAUUCAUUUCAGAUCAGAGGCCUGAGAGAUUGUCAGACCAAACCAAACAGAAUAAGGCAGCUGACUCCAAAUUCUACAAGAAUUGUGUCAGUGAAAAGGAGUGAACUAAGAAGGACCGGGGUCUACUUCCAUUUACAUUUCAUGAAAGACUAAGAGCCAUCAAGACAGAAGAUGGGAAACCUGUAUGUAGCCUUUCCUCCAAGAAAUCUGGACCAGAGGAUGAUACCUUGGCUUUUCUUGUACCUAGAGCCAGAUAGAAAACCAUUGGCUCAGAAGGGUCCUGCCAGCUCUGUACUAGUAGGAACCCCACCUCCCAAACCCCAUGGUCUGUUGUUCAAUGACCAGUUUUCAAGGUCUACAGAGUGGCAGAAGAGGGUGGCAGAUUAAGGCAAGAAGAAGGAAACCUCUGUCUUGGUUGAGAAAUCAAGGAGUCCCUGCUGUCACCCUUCAAAACAGAUAAUGUAUAAAAUACUGUCGAUACAGCCAGAGACUGUUAAUAAUAAUAACAAUGACAAUGAAAACUAA
rnacentral:lncRNA from 1 species